rnacentral:lncRNA from 1 species
AAGUUAAAUCCGGAUACGGGUACGGCCCGGAAACUCGUCUCCCCCUUUUUAAAUCUGAGGCUGCAAGCCAAACUAGGGUUUUAGAAGGCUGAAAGCGUUUCUUCAAGAAUCAUCCAUCAUACAAGACGACAAUGAUAUACGACGUCAAUUCUCCGUUGUUCCGUUCCUUCCUCAGCCAGAAGGGAGGCUCAUCUGAUAAACGGAAAACUGAGGAGCAAAGGCCUAAGGAACACAAGCCAAAAGCUAAUGAGAACAAGCCUGUUAUGAACGAGUAAUGUUUUUGUGAGGGAGGGUUUUUUUUUUUUUUUUAUUUGUAUUUCGUUCAUGGGGUAUGAUAGCAGCUGUUAUUCAGCUGUUAUGAAGUCGUCAACGUAUUUUGACUCUUGUUGUAUUGAUUUUGUUAUGUAACGUUGACGAACUUUACUGAAAAGUGUUGUGGGUUUUUUUUUUCCUGAAAGAGCGGGAAAGCAGGUAACGGUUUAUUUUAUGUAUGUUCUAUUGGAUUUAAAAUCUGAAUGAUAAUAGUUUCCCAAGCUUAAUCGAGCCUAAUGAUGAAACUUGGGCUCAAACUACUUCAAUAAACGAAUCUUCAUGUUAAAACUCAAAACUAUACUUGAGACUGUUUAGAACCCCGUCAAGUUUAAGUAGCUCAAAAAGUGUUUAUG